rfam:Gossypium raimondii Chr06_contig_183, whole genome shotgun sequence.
AACCCAUAGUGAGGGCACCGUCUCAAUAAAUCCUUAUACCUCUCGCAAGCAUCAUAUAAUGUCUCUAAGUCAAUAUGAACGAAUGAAGAAAUAUCAUUCCUUAACUU